rnacentral:rRNA from 1 species
ACAAUGCUGGCAACAGCGAUAAGGGAACCUCGAGUGCCAGGUUACAAAUCUGGCUGUCGAGAUGCCUAAAAAGCAUUUCAUAGCAAGGGCCGGGCAAGACCGGUGCCAGCCGCCGCGGUAACACCGGCGGCUCGAGUGGUAACCGUUAUUAUUGGGUCUAAAGGGUCUGUAGCCGGCCGGAUAAGUCUCUUGAGAAAUCUGGCAGCUUAACUGUCAGGCUUUCAGGAGAUACUGUCUGGCUCGAGGCCGGGAGAGGUGAGAGGUACUUCAGGGGUAGGGGUGAAAUCUUGUAAUCCUUGAAGGACCACCAGUGGCGAAGGCGUCCCACCAGAACGGACCUGACGGCAAGGGACGAAAGCUAGGGGCACGAACCGGAUUAGAUACCCGGGUAGUCCUAGCCGUAAACGAUACUCGCUAGGUGUCGGCCACGGUGCGACCGUUGUCGGUGCCGUAGGGAAGCCGUGAAGCGAGC